AUGCAACGCGAAGAACCUUACCUGGUCUUGACAUCCACAGAACUUUCCAGAGAUGGAUUGGUGCCUUCGGGAACUGUGAGACAGGUGCUGCAUGGCUGUCGUCAGCUCGUGUUGUGAAAUGUUGGGUUAAGUCCCGCAACGAGCGCAACCCUUAUCCUUUGUUGCCAGCGGUUAGGCCGGGAACUCAAAGGAGACUGCCAGUGAUAAACUGGAGGAAGGUGGGGAUGACGUCAAGUCAUCAUGGCCCUUACGACCAGGGCUACACACGUGCUACAAUGGCAUAUACAAAGAGAAGCGACCUCGCGAGAGCAAGCGGACCUCAUAAAGUAUGUCGUAGUCCGGAUUGGAGUCUGCAACUCGACUCCAUGAAGUCGGAAUCGCUAGUAAUCGUAGAUCAGAAUGCUACGGUGAAUACGUUCCCGGGCCUUGUACACACCGCCCGUCACACCAUGGGAGUGGGUUGCAAAAGAAGUAGGUAGCUUAACCUUCGGGAGGGCGCUUACCACUUUGUGAUUCAUGACUGGGGUGAAGUCGUAACAAGGUAACCGUAGGGGAACCUGCGGUUGGAUCACCUCCUUA
rnacentral:rRNA from 1 species